rnacentral:rRNA from 1 species
CGAUUCCUACGGGAGGCAGCAGUAGGGAAUAUUGGACAAUGGAGGCAACUCUGAUCCAGCCAUGCCGCGUGGUAGAUGAAGGCCCUCUGGGUUGUAAAUACCUUUUAUCUGGGGAGAAACCUAUACUUUCUAGUGUAGCUGACGGUACCAGAUGAAUAAGCACCGGCUAACUCCGUGCCAGCAGCCGCGGUAAUA